CACGUAGGCACCAAGCGUUGUCCGGAUUUAUUGGGCGUAAAGAGCUCGUAGGCGGUUGAGUAAGUCGGGUGUGAAAACUCUGGGCUUAACCCAGAGCCGCCACCCGAUACUGCUCUGACUUGAGUUCGGUAGGGGAGCAGGGAAUUCCUAGUGUAGCGGUGAAAUGCGCAGAUAUUAGGAGGAACACCGGUGGCGAAGGCGCUGCUCUGGGCCGAUACUGACGCUGAGGAGCGAAAGCGUGGGGAGCAAACAGGG
rnacentral:rRNA from 1 species